rnacentral:rRNA from 1 species
UGAGGAAUAUUGGGCAAUGCCCGCAAGGGUGACCCAGCAACGCCGCGUGGAGGAUGAAUGUCGUAAGAUUGUAAACUCCUGUUAGAGGGGAAGAAUAGUACCGGUUGGACCGGUAUAUGACUGUACCCUCGGAGAAAGCCCCGGCUAACUACGUGCCAGCAGCCGCGGUAAUACGUAGGGGGCAAGCGUUGUCCGGAUUUACUGGGUGUAAAGGGCGCGCAGGCGGGAUAAAAAGUCAGUGGUGAAAUCCUACAGCUUAACUGUAGAACUGCCUUUGAUACUUUUAUUCUUGAGUUCAGGAGAGAGAGACGGAAUUCCAGGUGUAGUAGUGAAAUACGUAGAUAUCUGAAAGAACACCAGUUGCGAAGGCGGUCUCUUGGUCCGACACUGACGCUGAGGCGCGAAAGCGU